rnacentral:rRNA from 1 species
AGUGAACGCUGGCGGCGUGCCUAAUACAUGCAAGUCGAACGGAGUGGCGCACGGGUGAGUAAUGUAUAGCUAAUCUGCCCUACACUAGAGGACAACAGUUGGAAACGACUGCUAAUACUCUAUAGUGUAGGAUGAGGCGAUAUUGUAUCAGCUAGUUGGUGAGGUAAUGGCUCACCAAGGCUAUGACGCAUAACUGGUCUGAGGGGAUGAUCAGUCGAACCGGAACUGAGGCACGGUCCGGGAUCCUACGGGAGGCAGCAGUAGGGAGUAUUGCUCAAUGGGGGAAUCCCUGAAGCAGCAUCGCGGCGUGGAGGAUGACACUUUUCGGAGCGUAAACUCCUUUUGUUAGGGAAGCGGUACCUAACGAAUAAGCACCGGCUAACUCCGUGCCAGCCGCCGCGGUAAUAC